AAAAGUGCGAGUUUGAUCCUGGCUCAGGAUAAACGCUGGCGGCGUGCCUUAUGCAUGCAAGUCGAACGGUCCUUCCCGCAAGGGAAGGAUAGUGGCGAACGGGUGAGUAACGCGUAAGUAACCUGCCCCUAAGUAGAGAAUAACUCUGAGAAAUUAGAGCUAAUACUGUAUGUGGUGGUGGGGGUAAUGCUUCAUCACUAAAGCCUUAGGGCGCUUAGGGAGGGGCUUGCGUCCGAUUAGCUAGUUGGUAGGGUAAUGGUCUACCAAGGCGAUGAUCGGUAGCUGGUUUGAGAGGACAUCCAGCCACACUGGGACUGAGAUACGGCCCAGACUCCUACGGGAGGCAGCAGCAAGGAAUUUUGCGCAAUGGGCGAAAGCCUGACGCAGCGACGCCGCGUGGGGGAUGACGGCCCUCGGGUUGUAAACCCCUUUUCUCGGGGAAGAAUAAUGACGGUACCUGAGGAAUAA
rnacentral:rRNA from 1 species